rnacentral:rRNA from 1 species
AACGAACGCUGGCGGCAGGCCUAACACAUGCAAGUCGAACGCUCGUAGCAAUACGAGAGUGGCAGACGGGUGAGUAACGCGUGGGAACCUUCCCAGUGGUACGGAAUAGCUCAGGGAAACUUGAGGUAAUACCGUAUACGCCCUUCGGGGGAAAGAUUUAUCGCCAUUGGAUGGGCCCGCGUCGGAUUAGGUAGUUGGUGAGGUAACGGCUCACCAAGGCGACGAUCCGUAGCUGGUCUGAGAGGAUGAUCAGCCACACUGGGACUGAGACACGGCCCAGACUCCUGCGGGAGGCAGCAGUGGGGAAUAUUGGACAAUGGGGGCAAGCCUGAUCCAGCCAUGCCGCGUGAGUGACGAAGGCCUUAGGGUUGUGAAGCUCUUUUGGCGGGGAAGAUAAUGACGGUACCCGCAGAAUAAGCUCCGGCUAACUUCGUGCCAGCCGCCGCAGUAAAAC